AUACGGAGGAUCCGAGCGUUAUCCGGAUUUAUUGGAUUUAAAGGGUGCGCAGGCGGCCAUUUAAGUCAGCGGUUAAAUCGUGGGGCUCAACCCCAUUCUGCCGUUGAUACUGGGUGGCUUGAUUGCGGUCGAGGUUGGCGGAAUUCGUUGUGUAGCGGUGAAAUGCAUAGAUAUGACGAAGAACACCGAUUGCGUAGGCAGCUGACCAGACCGCAAAUGACGCUCAUGCACGAAAGUGCGGGGAUCGAACAGGAUUAGAUACCCUGGUAGUCCGCACAGUAAACGAUGAAUACUUGUUUUCGGCGAUAUAAUGUCGGAGGCAAAGCGAAAGCGAUAAGUAUUCCACCUGGGGAGUACGCCGGCAACGGUGAAACUCAAAGGAAUUGACGGGG
rnacentral:rRNA from 1 species